GUCUUCCUAUCCUUGCAAUGGCAUGCCUGUUAGGGAGACACUGAAGCAGAGUAGCGGACAGUUCUCGUGUGUCGCUCGUGAGCAGAAAGUAAAAUUUUGGUUAGAAAAUUUGGAAGUAGGUUGCUGUGCUGCCCCGGGUUGUAGCAGCACUUCGUCUAAAUGGUUCACGUUAUUCGGAUUUCAUGCAGGUAAACAUCAAAGAGCAAAAUGAUUACAGACCUGUAGGUGAGGUGGAGAAAGUAUGUGCAUUAACUGGUGAGAAUAAUUACAGCUGAAAUACUGUGUGUUUUUUGCACAAUAUGUAUGUUUACGAUUUGUUUAAGCUUCGCUUCUAGGAUUCACAGUUCCAGUUGAAGAGAGGGCUGCUGGAAGAGCACUGUUAAAACGCAAAGCAAUUCCUACGAAAUUCAAAGUCCGAAAUCGUUCGAAACCAGUCUUUCAAACGUAAAUAACCGAAAAUAAAUUAAUGAAACCGGGAAUGAUUUCAGUUUCUGGAUGCAAAAUUAGUGGCGAGUAGCUUAUGCUCUGAAUUACCGGUACGCCGAGAAGCCCUGGCUUGCAUUUUUACGGCGAGGUGGAUUUGUACAGUUUCAUAUAAAGACCAAUUUCGAAGAUAGCAAGCGACACACCAGUUCGUUGUGUUAUGCAGGCGCUGUUUGUGCAAGUGCAGUUUUGAACUUGAGAAUAUUGUAAAGAAAGGAGCCUUGGCUUCACAGCAAAGUGAAUAUAGUGGCUAAAAUGCCAUUGAUAAAAUGAAAUGUUUGUAACUGUGACAGUUAAGAUCAAUUGACAUGCAGAUCUGUUUAAGGCAACAUAUGCUUGAUACUCACAAAAUAAUUACUGAAAAGGCUGCUUCAACUUUGAUCCUUAUUGAAACAUUAGUGGUUGUGAAAUAUUUUCAGCCACUGAACUGUUAGAGGAAGAAACGUGAAUGCAACAAGAUAUUAUAAAUUUGGAGUUGCUGAAAAAGAUACUGACAGCAGAUGAUGAUGAAAGAGAAUGUAACUGCAAAGAACAGCAAGCUUAACACACUUUUACAUUCAGACCGGAUGAAAUACUAAGUGUUUCUGAAUCAAGUGAAAGUGUGGUUUUCUCUGCAAGUGAAAUAUUCUGGUGGUACAAACGGUUAUGAAUUACUGAGGAGCACCAGUUGCCCACUGCUGGUAGAAAGAACACUGGUGAAGACGACUGAAACAAGAUACAGAGUAAAGCUGGGGUUUGAAGAUGUGCAGAAAAUAGUGUGUAUUUUCAUUAAGUGAAAUCGCAGUUAGGCAUUUUGUUGAGGAUGACAAAGGUUUAAAAACAUAUAUAGGAUUUGUGAGUGAAGAGUUAAGCAGAGAUGCAGCUUGCCAGCCAUGCUUUGGUUUUUGUGGUGCAAAGUUUAAGGUAACUAGCCCGUGAAUCUGCCUCAAAAAAUUUAUUCAUUCUUUUUCAUCUUAAUUCAAUGUUUAGAGCUUUGUUGAAAGAUUGUGUAAAGAUCUCUGUCCAAGAAACAUAUAUUAUGCAAAUGUUUCUUCAAUUCAAAGCAUUGUUAGAAGGUACACUUUGUGAAACUCCUAUGAUUCCCUGUAAUUUGCUGAUCUUCACAAAAAACUGUAAUAAAGAAAAUGUGUGAACUAAUGUGA